rnacentral:SRP_RNA from 1 species
GAAGACCCCCCGUGCGGCGGUACCUCACCGAACUCCCCCAGGGCCGGAAGGCAGCAAGGGUAAGUGAGCUCUAUCGGGUGUGCGGGGGGUCCUCUCA